GAUGAACGCUGGCGGCGUGCCUAAUACAUGCAAGUCGAACGAGGCCCUCUUCCUUCGGGAGGAGGUGUCCUAGUGGCGAACGGGUGAGUAUCACGUUGGUGACCUACCCCGAAGAGGGGGACAACCCCGGGAAACUGGGGGCUAAUACCCCAUGAUCUCCGAAGAGUUAGAGGUCUUCGGAGGAAAUGGAGCAAUCCGCUUUGGGAGGGGCCUGCGGCCUAUCAGCUAGUUGGUGAGGUAACGGCUCACCAAGGCUACGACGGGUAGGGGACCUGAGAGGGUCGACCCCCCACACUGGAACUGAAACACGGACCAGACACCUACGGGUGGCAGCAGUAGGGAAUAUUGCACAAUAGGCGAAAGCCUGAUGCAGCAACGCCGCGUGCGCGAUGAAGGCCUUCGGGUUGUAAAGCGUCUUUUCUGGGGGACGAGAAAGGACGGUACCCCAGGAAUAAGUCUCGGCUAACUACGUG
rnacentral:rRNA from 1 species